rnacentral:rRNA from 1 species
AUGGAGGGGAGUCCAGUCAGUGCCUCGCUGGGCGCCAUGGGCUCCCUUCCACGGAAGCUCGAUGAGCUCUUGGCGACCAGACACUGGGUUCUGCGGGGCGCUCUGAUGGAUGAGAUCGAGCAUCUCACGACCGACCUUUGCAUCCUGUACAAAUUAAUGCUGAAGCUCUCAGAUGCGCCGCAGGAACCUCCUAUGGCUGCGAGGUAUUGGAUGAAGGAAGUGCGCGAGCUUUCCUACGACAUGGACGACUUUGCCGACCAAUUCCUCCAUGCUCAUGGCCGUGCCAAGAUCUGCAGAGCUGCUCGCCACAAGAAUAAAAAAAUUUCUCGGGUAAAGAUUAAAUGUCUUCGAGAGAGGCGGAGGUGGCGCCCAUGGAUCACUGACAAGAUUUCAGAAUUCAGGACUCGAGCGCAGGAGGCGAUUCAGCGAUACCAGCGGUACAAGUUUGAUGAUUGCGCCUCCAGUCCUGGAUUCUCACGUAUUGGCCAUGAGCUUCCAAGUAUUUGGUCAGAUGCUGAUGAUCUUGUUGGCAUGGAAGGCCCAACGGAUGAGCUUGAGAGGUGGUUGAUCAAUGGAGAGGAGCAGCUCAAGGUGGUGUCCAUUGUGGGUGUUGCAGGAAUCGGCAAGACCACUCUUGCCUUAAAGUUGUGGGGUAAGCUCUGUGGACAAUUCGAGUGUGGGGCAUUUGUGCGGACAGCCCAAAAACCCGAUAUGAGGGGUAUUCUCAGGAACAUACUCUUCCAAGUUCGGCCGCACCAACCUCCAAACCAUGGCGAGAUGCGCCACCUGAUCAACGACCUCAGGGAAUAUCUACAAGACAAGAGGCAUGCUAUGUACAAAAUAUUUGUCAGGUACUUUGUUAUAAUUGAUGACUCAUGGGCUACAUCACUAUGGGAUGUGGUUAGUCGCGCUUUUCCACAGAGUAAUAGUUGCAGCAGAAUAAUAACUACGACAGAAAUUAUGGAAGUAGCUCUCGCAUGUCGCUGUUUUUGCCCUGAGCAUAUUUUUAAAAUGGAACCUCUUAGUGAUGAUGACUCAGAGAAAUUACUGCUCCAACGAAUGCUUGUCCCAGGAAAUCAAAGUCCUCAACAAUUUGAUGAUGUUAUACCUCAGAUUAUGAGAAGUUGUGGUGGCUUGCCACUAGCAAUCAUCAUUGUAGCCAGAAUUUUAGCAAGCCAACCUGAGAAGCUAGAGCAAUGGGGCAGUACACAGAAUUCUUCUGGUUCCAUUUUCGGGGCAAAUCCUAGCAUGGAAGGGUUUAUGGGACGAAUAUUGAACAUUUGCUUCAUUAGUCUUCCACAUUAUUUGAAGACAUGUCUGCUCCAUCUUAGUACAUAUCCAGAGGGCUAUCUAUUCUUGAAAUAUGACGUAGUGAAGCAAUGGGUGGCUGAUGGUUUUAUAUGUGCAAACGAAGGUCAAGACAUGGAGGAAGUUGCCGGGAGCUAUUUUGAGUCACAUGUAAUGUCACUGUAA